rnacentral:rRNA from 1 species
GACGAACGCUGGCGGCAGGCUUAACACAUGCAAGUCGAACGCCCCGCAAGGGGAGUGGCAGACGGGUGAGUAACGCGUGGGAACAUACCCUUUCCUGCGGAAUAGCUCCGGGAAACUGGAAUUAAUACCGCAUACGCCCUACGGGGGAAAGAUUUAUCGGGGAAGGAUUGGCCCGCGUUGGAUUAGCUAGUUGGUGGGGUAAAGGCCUACCAAGGCGACGAUCCAUAGCUGGUCUGAGAGGAUGAUCAGCCACAUUGGGACUGAGACACGGCCCAAACUCCUACGGGAGGCAGCAGUGGGGAAUAUUGGACAAUGGGCGCAAGCCUGAUCCAGCCAUGCCGCGUGAGUGAUGAAGGCCUUAGGGUUGUAAAGCUCUUUCACCGAUGAAGAUAAUGACGGUAGUCGGAGAAGAAGCCCCGGCUAACUUCGUG